rnacentral:rRNA from 1 species
GUCCACGCCUUAACUAUGGAUACUAAGUGUCGGCGGUUUACCGCCGGUGCCGCAGCUAACGCAAUAAGUAUCCCGCCUGGGAAGUACGGCCGCAAGGUUGAACUCAAAGGAAUUGACGGGCCCGCACAAGCGGUGGAGCAUGUGGUUUAAUUCGACGCAACGCGAAGAACCUUACCCAGGCUGGACAUGCAGGUAGUAGAAGGGUGAAAGCCCCAACGAGGUAGAAAUACCAUCCUGCUCAGGUGCUGCAUGGCUGUCGU